GCUCUGGGAGUCCUUUCUGCUGGAUGCCAGAGAAUUGGAUGCUAUUGCCACCAAAGACAUUGAAGAGAAGCAACACAGGUAAGUACGCUCAUCUCUCUAUACUCAUUUUCUUUAUUUAAAU
rnacentral:lncRNA from 12 species